rnacentral:lncRNA from 1 species
CUAAUGAAGUUACAUACAACACUCUUAUCCGUGGAUGCUUUAAGAAUAAGAAGUAUGAUGGAGCUUGUGUACUUAUAGAUGAGAUGUUUGCUCAUGGUUUCAAAGCAGAUGCCUCUACCACCUCCAUGCUAUUCGAUUUGCUGCAAUCGAAGGAGCAGGACCCCGCACUCCUUGCUAUGAAGAAGAAAUUCAUGCCUUGACUACAUCAAGGAAAGAGUUUAUUAAGGUACACAAUACUUUAAAGUUGCCAGAACACUCUGCAGCAUUAUAAUUUACUUGCAUUACAUUGUAAAUUGUGAUCACUCUGCAAUCUGAUGAUGCAAACACUCUGCAGCAUUAUAAUUUGCUUGCAUUACAUUGUAAGUUUGUCUUCUAUUUUUGGCAGUCUACUAAUAGUUACUUUAAGUGCUGUAUGGCUAACAUGUAGUUGCAUAAAGGUGUCUUGAGUGCAGCAAAUGUGAAGUACACCAACAUUUUCAUUCAUCUUAUUGAUAUAUUAGUUCUUAAUAUAUUAUAUAUUGUAUUCGUUAUCUCUUUCUAAGUUUAAAAUCUCUUUUAAAAUACAGGAAAUGGAUCCAAAAUACUAUCCUCUGUUUCUAAAUUUGUUUACAGUUUCAAAUAAUAAACUUGUUUUCAUUUUUACUAUAUUCACAAAGUACCAGAGUGCCCACCCCAGGAGCUUCCAUGAUUUAAUCGUCACAAUUUUAUCUUUGACUGAUACAGGGGUUGUGUUAGGCUGCCCAUUAGCAGUUUCAGCUUUGAUCGCGAACGCCCCUAUACCCCUGCUUCAUCUAUAGCUAAUUAGCAACUCCAACAGUUACUUUAUAAGCUAUUGAACUUACUUGAAUCACGAGAGCAGGAUCCUGGCGCUCCUUGAAUCAAUUUCACUGUUUCUUAAUCGGAUCAGGGUGUUUAUAUAUUAGUUGUUCCUUGAAUCAACAACUUUAUGAUGAAAUAAUUGCUGGAAGAAGCAUAUAAAAUGCUUUUGGAAUUGAAAGAAAAUAAUUGCUUGCCUAGUGAAGUUACAUACAACACUCUUAUCUGUGGCUGCUUUAAGAAUAAGAUGUAAGAUGGAAGUUGUGUGCUUAUAGAUGAGACGUGUGCUCAUUGUUUUUCUGCAGAUGCCUCUACCACCUCCAUGCUAUUCGAUUUGCUGCAAUCAAAAGAGCAGGAACCCGGUCUCCUUGCGUUGCACAAGAAGUUCAUGCCUUGACUUUAUCAAGGAAAGAGUUCUGUAAGCUACAACGUACUUCUAAAU